CCUACACGACCGUACCGCAAACCGACACUGGUGCGCGAGAUGAGUAUUCUAAGGCGCUUGAGAGAACUCAGGAGAAGGAACUCGGCAAAUUGACACCGUAACUUCGGAAGAAGGUGUGCCUUUAGUAGGUGAAGUCCCUCGCGGAUGGAGCCCAAUGAGGUUGCAAAAAAUCGGUGGCUGCGACUGUUUAUUAAAAACACAGCACUCUGCAAACACGAAAGUGGACGUAUAGGGUGUGACGCCUGCCCGGUGCUGGAAGAUUAAAUGAUGGGGUGCAAGCUCUUGAUUGAAGUCCCAGUAAACGGCGGCCGUAACAAUAACGGUCCUAAGGUAGCGAAAUUCCUUGUCGGGUAAGUUCCGACCUGCACGAAUGGCGUAACGAUGGCCACACUGUCUCCUCCUGAGACUCAGCGAAGUUGAAAUGUUUGUGAUGAUGCAAUCUCCCCGCGGAAAGACGGAAAGACCCCAUGAACCUUUACUGUAGCUUUGUAUUGGACUUUGAACAGAUCUGUGUAGGAUAGGUGGGAGGCUUUGAAGCAGGGUCGCUAGAUCUUGUGGAGCCAACGUUGAAAUACCACCCUGGUGUGUUUGAGGUUCUAACCUAGGCCCGUAAUCCGGGUUGGGGACAGUGCAUGGUAGGCAGUUUGACUGGGGCGGUCUCCUCCCAAAGUGUAACGGAGGAGUUCGAAGGUACGCUAGUUACGGUCGGACAUCGUGACGAUAGUGCAAUGGCAUAAGCGUGCUUAACUGCGAGACUGACAAGUCGAGCAGAUGCGAAAGCAGGACAUAGUGAUCCGGUGGUUCUGUAUGGAAGGGCCAUCGCUCAACGGAUAAAAGGUACUCUGGGGAUAACAGGCUGAUACCGCCCAAGAGUUCAUAUCGACGGCGGUGUUUGGCACCUCGAUGUCGGCUCAUCUCAUCCUGGGGCUGUAGCCGGUCCCAAGGGUAUGGCUGUUCGCCAUUUAAAGAGGUACGUGAGCUGGGUUUAAAACGUCGUGAGACAGUUUGGUCCCUAUCUUCCGUGGGCGCUGCAGAUUUGAGGAAGCCUGCUCCUAGUACGAGAGGACCGGAGUGGACGCACCUCUGGUGUAUCGGUUGUCACGCCAGUGGCAUUGCCGAGUAGCUAUGUGCGGAAGAGAUAACCGCUGAAAGCAUCUAAGCGGGAAACUCGUUUCAAGAUGAGAUCUGCCGGGGCCUUGAGCCCCCUGAAGAGUCGUUCAAGACCAGGACGUUGAUAGGUCGGGUGUGGAAGCGCAGUAAUGCGUUAAGCUACCGAUACUAAUUGCUCGUGCGGCUUGACCCU
rnacentral:rRNA from 1 species